rnacentral:rRNA from 1 species
GACGAACGCUGGCGGCGUGCUUAACACAUGCAAGUCGAACGGUGAAGGGACCAGCUUGCUGGUUCUGGAUGAGUGGCGAACGGGUGAGUAACACGUGAGUAACCUGCCCCCUUCUUCUGGAUAACCGCAUGAAAGUGUGGCUAAUACGGGAUAUUCUGGGUCUGUCGCAUGGCGGGCCCGGGAAAGAUAUUGCUUCGGUGGGGGAUGGGCUCGCGGCCUAUCAGCUUGUUGGUGGGGUGAUGGCCUACCAAGGCGGUGACGGGUAGCCGGCCUGAGAGGGUGGACGGUCACACUGGGACUGAGACACGGCCCAGACGCCUACGGGAGGCAGCAGUGGGGAAUAUGGCACAAUGGGCGCAAGCCUGAUGCAGCGACGCCGCGUGAGGGAUGGAGGCCUUCGGGUUGUAAACCUCUUUCGCCAGUGAAGCAGGCCUGCUCCUUGUGGGUGGGUUGACGGUAGCUGGAGAAGAAGCGCCGGCUAACUACGUG